CGGGAUAUUGGAAAGUUAGUGUUUUAAAAGGAAAAAGUGAGAUUUAAAGAUGGCCAUGACAUGGGUUUAGGAAAAGCAUUGGCGUGGAAGUUGGAUUUUCUUAUUAUAGAUACUGUAAGUAAAUACCUCCCUUACCUUCACAUUAGCAGAAUAAAUAUUUGAUUGUAUAUUUCAGGCUACAGCGAUACAUUCACACAGCUGCAAAGCAAAUACAACUCAGGAUCUGGGAGGAAUCAAGCUCUAUACACUCAAGGACAUAAGAUCAGACCUGCCAGAGCAUACCCAAGGCCCAUCAGAUUUAGCAUUUGAACCUUGCAAUAGCCAAGCAGAUGCCUAUCAGCAGCUCAACAGCAGAAAUGAAUGCAACAGCACCCUUCGUGCUUGAAAUCCCCAGGAAUUGGUAUUCAGAGGCAUGUGGAUGUUGGAAAGCAGGUACUGAAGCUCUGGAAGAAUGUCAAAAAGCGUUGAAGAAAGCCUCCUCAGGGCCUGUUCCUGCAAGAGUUUUCUGUCCUCCCACCCACAGGGGGAGCUGCCAUCAACUGUCCUGUGGGAUGGAUUCCAGCAGAAAAUGGGAGGCAAGAAGAGACCACCUCAAAGUCUGCACUACUGGGACUAUCCCUUCCCCACCAGAGAGUUAUUAUUCCACCAACUGCCUUGUGUAAAGGAUCCUGGUGGCUUUAUUUAUUUGGGAAGAGUUUAGAAAAUGUGGUUUAGUGUUUCUUGUAAGGUACCAUGGAGCUAUUUGUAUCCUGAAAGGCAGGUUAAAAAGAAGUUUAAGGAAUAAAUAAUAAAAUAAGCACGGUCCUGAAACUGCUCGCAGUUUUUCACAAAUGCUUUUGGCAACACCGAUACCUCAGUGCCUUCAAGUUAUUAAAAUACACUCAUAAAAAUAUUGAUACUCACGAACUGAUCUACGGCAAUUUAGUGGUGCUAUGCUCCUUCUUUUUGACAAUUUCCCAGCAUUUCACAUCUAUUCGGGUGCAGAGGUCCCUUCCUGAAUUAGGCAAUUCAUCUUACUGCUAUAUGUAGGUUAUAUAUUUUGUCUGAUUUUAGCAGCAGCCCUUAUAAGCAUGUAUAGUGGAAUGAAAUGAAUUAUUUUAAAUGAUAAACAUUAUUUUAAAGGUAUAAAAAUGAAGUUCCAUUUUUAUAGGUUCUGAAGGAGGAGCAGAGGACUUUUUCCAGUUUGAAAGCUGUGUUCCCUCGUGGGGAAUCAACCAGGGCCACAGGGCAGUGUUGGAUCAGGCCACAGGCAAAAGUGGGUGGAAUAACUGCAGACCCUCCAAGUGUCCCUGUUUUCCAAGGACAUCCCCGGAUUUACAGAAGGCACCCCUGUUUCUGAUUUGAUCCUGGAAUGUUCCACUUUUCCUUAGGCCGUCCCUAUUUUCAUCGGAUAAAUGUUGGAGGGUAUGGAGUUCUGCUACCCCUAAUCCAAGAAGAUAAC